ACGGGAGGCAGCAGUAGGGAAUAUUGCACAAUGGGGGAAACCCUGAUGCGGCAACGCCGCGUGAGUGAAGAAGUAUUUCGGUAUGUAAAGCUCUAUCAGCAGGGAAGAUAAUGACGGUACCUGACUAAGAAGCACCGGCUAAAUACGUGCCAGCAGCCGCGGUAAUACGUAUGGUGCAAGCGUUAUCCGGAUUUACUGGGUGUAAAGGGUGCGUAGGCGGCAUGGCAAGUCAGAUGUGAAAGACCGGGGCUCAACUCCGGGGCUGCAUUUGAAACUGCCAGGCUGGAGUACAGGAGAGGCAGGCGGAAUUCCUGGUGUAGCGGUGAAAUGCGUAGAUAUCCGGAGGAACACCAGUGGCGAAGGCGGCCUACUGGGCUUUAACUGACGCUGAGGCUCGAAAGUGUGGGGAGCAAACAGGAUUAGAUACCCUGGUA
rnacentral:rRNA from 1 species